ensembl:lncRNA
GUGGGGGACCCCUCGUCAUGGGAAGGAGGGAGUGAGAAAGGAGGAGGGAGAGUAUGAAUGAGAGAGAGGGAGAAAAAAACGUCGGCCCCUAAUGACCUAUCUGCCCAGCAUGUCUGAUAUGGCUCAUUUGCUACCGGUGAGAGAGAACUAGACCGCUGCAUAUGAACGUUAGGACCAGGGCUGUUCUGAAGAGGGCUGUUUUGAGACUAAUGGAUAGGGUUAUUACUACCGCAAAUGAAAGUGCCCUUUGAGUACAAUAACCUAUUCGUUCUCAAAAGCUCCUUUCAACUGGAGCAAACUCACCUCUUCCACAGUACAGUACCAAUGACACAAAUGGUACACAGACAAAUGUGUAGCGCCCACCUGUUGGGGACGAGGAGGAUGAAUGGUGUGUUUACAUAUGAACUUUUCGUCAACAAACCUCUCUCUUUUGUUUGUUUGUACAUAUUCUACUCAAUGGUGUGUUCCUUUUAACCUUCUAGAUCAGUGUUUCUGGGUAGUCUUAAAAAAGAAAUCUACUUUGAAACAAAAGAAUGCACCUCACACACGUGGUUAUGGGCUUAUAGAAGAAGUUAUGUCAGAUACAGAGUUGAAAAUGUAUUCAAUGUUGAGUUUGCAUUCCAGUAUUACACUUUAGGUACAUCACAGAAGACUGAACUAUAACAAAACCGUUUGACAUAGAAACAUCGGAUUCAUCGGUGUAAUUUUUUUAAAUGUUUAAAAUGUUUAUUAAUUAUGCAAUUAUGAAAAAUAUUGAUAACAUUUCACCCAUGACGCCACUAGAGGGCGAUUUGUUCAUUUCACUGCAGGAACUAGUGAACUUUCUCCCUAAUCUGCGUACCAAAUGGCACCCGGUUUCCUAAGUAGGGCAUUACUUUUGACCAGGGCCCAGAGUAGUGCACCUUAUAGGGAACAGGGUGCUAUUUGGGAUACUUCCCUGGUUCUCAGUUCCUUUACUGACUCUUACCUGGAAUGACCUGUCUGUGUGCUGUACAUUUUCAGCUGUUUCUUAGCCGACUCUGGGUCGGUGCCAUGUGUGUAUUACGUCUCACUUUACCUGCGACUGUACAUAAGUAGCCUUGUCCGAGGAAGAACGGCUCACAGGGCAGGAGCUCCUGUUUCUGUAGAGUGUAGCAGCUUCAACGAACAUCCUUACAGGAAAAUCACACGUUUUUGGGAAAUACUUCACAGGAUGAUAUUAGUUUCAUGUGGAUUUUCACAAAAACCUUUCACAUGUGGAUUACAUUUUUUUCUAGGAGAGAUUCACAAGCCCUGCAAAAACAAAGUUACGAGCCUGAAACCUUGAACACAGACUGCUGACACCCCGUGGAAGCCAUAGACAUUGCAUCCAGGGAGCUCAUUUUCAAUAUGACCUUUCUAUUGCAAUUCUAAGAGGUCUCUCAAAGGAUUUGGAUUUUCUCCUACCAUAUGUUAUAUUCUCCUACCUUAUUUUAAUAUUUCUACAAAUGUCAAAGUGUUUACUUUCUAAUGGUACCAAUUAUAUGCAUAUCCUGGCUUCUGGGCCUGAGCUACAGGCAGUUUACUUUGGGAAUGUCAUUCAGACAGGAAGUGGAGAAAAAAGGGGCCUAGCCCUAAGAAGUUUAAAAAAGUGGAUAUUCUACAGUCCACAUGUCUGUUACUGUAUAUUCUACAGUCCACAUGACUGUUUCUGUAUAUUCUACAGUCCACAUGUCUGUUACUGUAUAUUCUACAGUCCACAUGUCUGUUACUGUAUAUU